GAUGAACGCUGGCGGCGUGCCUAACACAUGCAAGUCGAGCGAAAAGACGACGAGCGUUCCUCUCUGACGUCAGCCGCGGACGGGUGAGUAACACGUGGAUAACCUAGCUAUGAGACUGGGAUCACUUCGGGAAACCGGAGCGCAUAUCGGCUAAUAUAUUAAACCGCAUGGCUCAAUAGUGAAAGUCGGUUUUGCUGUUUCUUAUAGCUGGUUCCGCGCCGCAUUAGCUAGUUGGUAAGGUAACGGCCUACCAAGGCAACGAUGCGUAGCCGACCUGAGAGGGUGAUCGGCCACACUGGGACUGAGACACGGUCCAGACUCCUACGGGAGGCAGCAGUAGGGAAUCUUCCGCAAUGGGCGAAAGCUUGACGGAGCAACGCCGCGUGAGUGAUGAAGGUCUUCGGAUCGUAAAACUCUGUUAUUAGGGAAGAACAAAUGUGGAAGUAACUAUGCACGUCUUGACGGUACCUAAUCAGAAAGCAACGGCUAACUACGUG
rnacentral:rRNA from 1 species